GAUGAACGCUGGCGGCGUGCCUAAUACAUGCAAGUCGAGCGAACGGACGAGAAGCUUGCUUCUCUGAUGUUAGCGGCGGACGGGCGAGUAACACGUGGAUAACCUACCUAUAAGACUGGGAUAACUUCGGGAAACCGGAGCUAAUACCGGCUAAUAUUUUGAACCGCAUGGUUCAAAAGUGAAAGACGGUCUUGCUGUCACUUAUAGAUGGAUCCGCGCUGCAUUAGCUAGUUGGUAAGGUAACGGCUUACCAAGGCAACGAUGCAUAGCCGACCUGAGAGGGUGAUCGGCCACACUGGAACUGAGACACGGUCCAGACUCCUACGGGAGGCAGCAGUAGGGAAUCUUCCGCAAUGGGCGAAAGCCUGACGGAGCAACGCCGCGUGAGUGAUGAAGGUCUUCGGAUCGUAAAACUCUGUUAUUAGGGAAGAACAUAUGUGUAAGUAACUGUGCACAUCUUGACGGUACCUAAUCAGAAAGCCCCGGCUAACUACGUG
rnacentral:rRNA from 1 species